GAUGAACGCUGGCGGCGUGCCUAAUACAUGCAAGUCGAGCGAACGGACGAGAAGCUUGCUUUUCUGAUGUUAGCGGCGGACGGGUGAGUAACACGUGGAUAACCUACCUAUAAGACUGGGAUAACUUCGGGAAACCGGAGCUAAUACCGGAUAAUAUUUUGAACCGCAUGGUUCAAAAGUGAAAGACGGUCUUGCUGUCACUUAUAGAUGGAUCCGCGCUGCAUUAGCUAGUUGGUAAGGUAACGGCUUACCAGGGCAACGAUGCAUAGCCGACCUGAGAGGGUGAUCGGCCACACUGGAACUGAGACACGGUCCAGACUCCUACGGGAGGCAGCAGUAGGGAAUCUUCCGCAAUGGGCGAAAGCCUGACGGAGCAACGCCGCGUGAGUGAUGAAGGUCUUCGGAUCAUAAAACUCUGUUAUUAGGGAAGAACAUAUGUGUAAGUAACUGUGCACAUCUUGACGGUACCUAAUCAGAAAGCCACGGCUAACUACGUG
rnacentral:rRNA from 1 species